rnacentral:rRNA from 1 species
GAACUUAAGCAUAUCAAUAAGCGGAGGAAAAGAAACCAACAGGGAUUGCCUCAGUAACGGCGAGUGAAGCGGCAAAAGCUCAAAUUUGAAAUCUAGCACUUUCAGUGUUCGAGUUGUAAUUUGAAGAAGGUAACUUUGGUUUUGGCUCUUGUCUAUGUUCCUUGGAACAGGACGUCACAGAGGGUGAGAAUCCCGUGCGAUGAGAUGCCCAAUUCCAUGUAAAGUGCUUUCGAAGAGUCGAGUUGUUUGGGAAUGCAGCUCUAAGUGGGUGGUAAAUUCCAUCUAAAGCUAAAUAUUGGCGAGAGACCGAUAGCGAACAAGUACAGUGAUGGAAAGAUGAAAAGAACUUUGAAAAGAGAGUGAAAAAGUACGUGAAAUUGUUGAAAGGGAAGGGCUUGAGAUCAGACUUGGUAUUUUGCGUUCCCUUCCUUUUUGGUUGGGUUCCUCGCAGUUUACUGGGCCAGCAUCGGUUUGGAUGGUAGGAUAAUGACAUUGGAAUGUAGCUUUACUUCGGUGAAGUGUUAUAGACUUUGUUGAUACUGCCUAUCUAGACCGAGGACUGCGUCUUGACUAGAUGCUGCGA